rnacentral:rRNA from 1 species
GGGCGGCCGCUCUCCGUCGCGCUAACUCCGCCGCCGCCGCAGUGCUGCCAGUCAUCUUCCCUUCGAAGGACUGAUUCUGGCGCGCCGGUGUGACGGAGAGGCGAGGCGGCGCAGGGCAGGGUGUGGAUUGAAUCUGGCGCCAUCGUCCGUCCCCGAUUCGCCCUCACCGCAGGCAGGGCAGGUACACAGAUCCCUUUCCUUCCGUGAUUGCUACUAGAUGCGAAUUGAUUUGGGUAGGUGUUCACCACCGAUCUCGUCUGAUCUGGCCGUCGUCUCCGUCACGCCACCAGAUUGCUAAUCGUUUUCGGAAUCCAACUCCUCCCCUCCCUCCAAUUCCAAUUCCGAUUCUAACACUGAGAUUUUGCAGGGCGGCAGGGCCAUCAUAUAAUAAAUUCAAGGCUCGAUCUUUCUGCCGAAACUCUUCAAGGACGCUUGAUUGGUGAACACAGAGGCAGAGCUGCAGCAGGAGGAGGAUUAGAUAGAUUACUCUGUUAUUACUAUUAGGUCUUCUGUCAAAUCGCAGUGGGGAUGUCUAAUAAGCGCCGGGGAUAUGCCGGCGACGGCGGUGAAAAGAGGUCGCGGCGGAUCAAGCAUCUGUACCUCGUGUUGGAUGACUGGACCAAGGGGUACAGCAUCCACAAGAUCCAAGCCGACAGCUUCGACUCUGACUCUGAUGACCAGCACAGCGGCGCUGCCCGGCACCUCCCGGAGCCUCCGACCCUGCGGUUAGAGUGCCCGGUUGGCACUGUACCCCAUCCCGGCAUGUCGUUCUCUGCCUUGGGCACCAAGAUCUUCACCUUCAUGAACCAGCGAUGCAGCCUCAUCUACGACACCAAGACGGCCGCAAUGACGAUUGGCGCCCAUGCCCCUGCUGACAUGGUCUGUGGCUUCGGCAUCACCGUGGUCGUUGAUGAGAUGCUCUAUGCAUUAUCUUACCACUUCCGCGUGAAACAACACUCCUUUGGGGUCAUGUCAUGGGGGUCCACCGCGCCGGAUGCGCUGCAACAACCAACCGAGGGCUGGUCCUGGAAGACUCUGCCGCCACCACCGCCAACGUUCCACCGCCGAGUCAACUCCUAUGCACUACACCCGGAUGGAUGCACCAUCUUUAUGUCCACAGCUAACUUCAUGACGGCACCUAGCAAAGGUUGCAUGGGCACCUACUCAUUCAACACCAAGGAUUCUGUGUGGAGAUGGCAUGGGGAGUGGGCCUUGCCAUUCAGCGGCCAAGCACACUUGGACAGGGAGCUCAACGCUUGGGUUGGCCUUGGGUGGGAUGGCUACAUCUCUGCUUGCCAAGUUGCCUCCCCCAGCUGCCACAGCACGACUCCAACACAAGAUUGGGUGGGAUUGGCAGCAACCUCGAUGAGUACGUUGAGAGGUUGA